UACGAAGGGGGCUAGCGUUGCUCGGAAUCACUGGGCGUAAAGGGCGCGUAGGCGGCGGGGUAAGUCGGGUGUGAAAUCUCAGGGCUCAACCCUGAAACUGCACUUGAUACUGCUCUGCUUGAGGACUGGAGAGGAGACUGGAAUUCACGGUGUAGCAGUGAAAUGCGUAGAUAUCGUGAGGAAGACCAGUGGCGAAGGCGGGUCUCUGGACAGUUCCUGACGCUGAGGCGCGAAGGCCAGGGGAGCAAACGGG
rnacentral:rRNA from 1 species